UAAAACUACCGGGGGUGCUGCGAAGAGCGGCUGAGACGGGAAUUUUCCCGAACCCUUGAACCUGUUUGGGUAAUGCCAGCGGAGGGAGGGUAGUUGUUUUUAGGC
rnacentral:ncRNA from 2 species